GGAACAGGACUUGGCUCAGUGCUUAAGGUCUAUAAGAGAAAUGGUGGUGUUAUAUGGGGGUGUUGCUAAUGGCAGUGAGUGCCUUGCCUGAGGCAGUCUGUGUGGGCAGCUGUGUCCUGUGUGGGUGUCCAUGUGUGUGCCUUCCUUGGACACAUGGUCAGGAUUGCUAUGUUUGGUUUACGUGGCAAGAGUAAAGUAAAGGAAGAGGGUGUGUGUGUGUGUGUGUGUGUGUGUGUGUAUAAGGGAGGACUUUGUGAGGAGAUUUCAGAAGCUGCUCCAAGUGAGAAAGAGAGAAUGAUCAAAUUCUUGGCUGGGAUGGCUCAGUGAUUUAAAUGUAGGGUGAGAAUGAUGUUGAUAACAGACCGAUGUUUCAGUUGAUGCUGAGCAGUGCUUACACCAAGCCAAGGACUUUUCUGCUCCUCAGACCGCCCCGCCAGCAGAGUCAUUUCCGGCAGCUCUGUCAUCUUGGGGCUGGCAGGUGGUUUUCUGACUCCUUCUCACUCAGCAAACAGGAGGGUCAGUCUCAGCAUGCACCGCACCUAUCUCGUCCUCACUGCCUUCCUGGGACAACUGUUGGAUGCCGUGGGGCAGACCAUCGUCACCCAGCAAGAAGGACAGGUCACAGUGGAGGAGAGAAACACCUUCCAGACCACCUGCACAUACCAGACAUCUGGCUUUCCUAGCUUAAUUUGGUACCAGAGGAAGAAAGGCCAAGCCCCCCAGCUGGUCACAUAUCAGGCAGCAGCAGGCCCCAAGCAGAACGGCCGCUUCACCACGUGGCUCAACACCACCGGGAAAUACAGCCUCCUGCGGCUGGCCGAAGUCGAGCUCUCUGACAGCGCCUUGUACCUCUUUCCUGAGCCUGAGGAUAACCGCUACAUGCUUGGGAAGACGUGA